rnacentral:lncRNA from 1 species
GUAACAAUUUGUACGGAUGGGCCAUGUCCCAAUACAUGCUUCAUGAUGUUUCAAAUAGUCUGAUCCUACAUUAAACUUAUUGAGGAAUUUGGAUGACACUUCACCUAUAGAAUGGGCAUAUGAAGUAAAUAUUUAAUAUUCAGAACACUUAAACUAAUGAUUUUGAAAAGGACUAUUACAGAUUAAUGAACAAUUCAUUAUUUAGUAAUUUAUUAUUCAUAAUUAAAACUCUACUGUUAUAAUAUUAAUAUGGUUUCAUAUGUAAGACGAUGGAGUCUAUGCAACAGAGGAUAGAUGCUAAACUGUUAUCUACUGAGAAGAGAGUACAGAAACUCAUAAACAGAAUAACAUUAAGAUCAUGAAUUAAGAUUUACAGAGUACUGAACGAAUGUGUGAUUAGUGAAGUUUGAACUUUCUCAAUUUUGGCAAGGUCACUAACACCAUCUAGUCUACUCUUUACAAACUAUGUCAAUAUUUAUUGUAGAAUAGAUAUGCAAUUUAUUACAUAUCCUACUUCAGUCUAAACUUAAAACUGGUUUUAGUUUAUUUUUAUACCAAAUUUAUCUUUAAAGCGCUAACUGUCAUGCCAUACAGUGAGAACUAGACAGAUUCAGAAAAAAAUUGAUAAGACCUUUACUUACAUUGGGUACCUGUAUAUCUUAAUUUGUGGUUCAGAUGCAUGUUUGGAGAGAACAUAUAUGUUGACAGUCCAAAACUCCUAUAUUUUUGCGCAUCUCUACACAAAACUUACUACUAUUUAACCCUAUUACUGGACUCAAACUCGUGCUAUGAAAUACAAUGACGCGUUUGAUGAUGGAGCGUAAUCAUUUGCUUUUCCUCAUUUUAUGGAGUAUAGAAAAUAACUUUUAGCUGCAUGUUAUAUUGAAGUUCAAGUAGUUAUAUACAUUUGAUCAUGGUUAUCAAUCCCUUUAUAUUGCUGCGAGGAAAAAGAAGCCUGACUUGUAAUCAAACAAGAGUAAGUAUC